GCCAUUCAGAAACCUGGAAAAGCAUUCUAAGAGAAGGAAGAGCAAGAAAAGUUCUUGAGAUAAUAACAGAGAAUUGUUAGAAAGAAGGCCAGUGUGACUGAUAGAGGAUGGGGGCAGAGAGGUAGGCAGGGACCAGAUCAAGUAGGGCCUUAGGGUCAGCCUGGAGGAUUUGGGGUUUUAUUCUAAUUGCAAUGGGGAGCUCUUGGGUGGUUUUUAGCAAGUGACUGCAUGAUUUGACUUCUGCUAUAUGCAAUCAUGCUGGUUGGUGAUUAGAAAAUGGAUUGAAUGGGAGAACAGAAAAAGCACGAGAGAAUACUCAGCAGGCUGGCACUCGCCCAGGAGAGCUCUGUGACUGCUUUGACCAAUACAAGACAGCAGGAGUGAAGGUGGACUCAGCUUUUAACUGGUUCCUGCAGUCCUGACCAGUCAUCAAGCAGCUACUCAGACAGAGAGGCCGCGUGGAGGAGGCUUGAGGCAUCAGUCGUGUGGUGAAGAAGCCAUCUUGGACCCCCAGCCCCGGCUCUUACCUAGAUGCAGCUGCACCAGCUGAGCCCAAUCAACCCGCAGAUCCCUGAGAGAUAAUGAUAAAUAGCUGUGCCUUUGCUCUCAGCCUACCCCUUCGUGCUCCACACCCCAGUGAUAGUGAGAGGAGUACCAGAAACGAAGGGAUGGAAGAAUAGCAGCUGGAGGAGAAGGAUGGAGCAGAAAACAGCGAGUUCAAGAAGGAUUGGGAGAGAAUUUUUGGUGAGGAGCUGAGAGCAAAGCAAGGAGAAAGAUGGUUUGAAGACACUCCAGAAUAUGAGGGAGGUAGAGAGUGAGAGGAAAAGGAGGAAGGGGGUUUUAAGAAACGAUCACUUAGGGGCUGGCCCGGUGGCUGGGUGGUUAAAUUCUCGCGCUCUGCUGCUGCGGCCUGGGGUUUUGCCAGUUCAGAUCCUGGGCGCAGACAUGGCACUGCUCAUCAAGCUAUGCUGAGGCAGCAUCCCACAUGCCACACUAGAAGGACCCAUAACUAAGAAUAUACAACUAUGUACUGGGGGGCUUUGGGGAGAAAAAGGAAAAAAAUAAAAUCUUAAAAAAAAAAGAAAUGGUGACUUAGUUUAAACUUAAAUUUGUCUGGUGGUUUCUUUGCACUGACACGGCACAGAGGCUAUGCCCAUGGGAGCCCAGCGUUAGGUUAC
ensembl:lncRNA